rnacentral:lncRNA from 13 species
UAAACGACGCAGCCAACGACUUUCACACCGGCAAGAAGAAAAUGCUACAAUCUCUCGUCUCUAUCGCCAUUUUAGCCGUACUGCGUGAUUUGCCAGAUAUCUUUCACGCUUCUAAUUGAAAAGGAAACAAUUAUUACACUAAAAGAUUUAAAAGUGACACAAUAUAUCUGCUUGUAAGAAGGGAAAUACGUCAGUGAAGCAAGUUUAGUGGCAAAUCUUUUCAGUACCAAGUUAAUACACUGGGCAAAAACAUGUGUGUUGCUCCAGUUUAUAGUCUAGAACUGUAUCUUACAUAAAGCGUGUUUUUAACACAAAAUCUUUUGGUGAUUUUGACUUUCAAUAUAAACAUAUACCAAGCAGUAAAAUGAAGAAGAAACACAUCAACGACGUUCAAACGCAGACAGUAGAUGAACAUUAUAAAUUACUCCUAGAGGAUAACAGUGUAAUCGAUCAGGAAGCAAUGGAUGUAACAUCAAAAUGAUUUUCCAGAUUGGUACAAUGAAAAAUUAUAUAAAGAAGCUCAAAACUAUUAUAUACGAAACAUGGCAUCAAUAAUAACAGCAUCUUUAAUAGGAUUGAUUACAGGAAUUUCAGUGACACAAUAAGGAAGGUAUUUUCGUGUACAAAACAAACUGAUUCGACUUGUUCAGCUUUUAAAAGAUAUGGCAAAACUUUAUUACACAUGCACAACAUAUACACAUGUGAUCCAAAGGA